AUUGAACGCUGGAGGCAUGCUUUACACAUGCAAGUCGAACGGUAGAGGGGGCAACCCCUUGAGAGUGGCGAACGGGUGAGUAAUGCAUCGGAACGUGCCCAGUCGUGGGGGAUAACGCAGCGAAAGCUGUGCUAAUACCGCAUACGAUCUCUGGAUGAAAGCGGGGGACCGAAAGGCCUCGCGCGAUUGGAGCGGCCGAUGACAGAUUAGGUAGUUGGUGGGGUAAAGGCUCACCAAGCCAACGAUCUGUAGCUGGUCUGAGAGGACGACCAGCCACACUGGGACUGAGACACGGCCCAGACUCCUACGGGAGGCAGCAGGGGGGAAUUUUGGACAAGGGGCGCAAGCCUGAUCCAGCAAUGCCGCGUGCAGGAAGAAGGCCUUCGGGUUGUAAACUGCUUUAGUACGGAACGAAAAGGUCUGGGUUAAUACCCUGGGCACAUGACGGUACCGUAAGAAUAAGCACCGGCUAACUACGUGCCAGCCGCCGCGGUAA
rnacentral:rRNA from 1 species